rnacentral:tRNA from 1 species
UCUAUUAUGGCAGACAAGUGCAAUGAAUUUAAGCUUCAUAUAUAAAGUAAAUAGACUUUUUUUAGAA